GUCAAUAUCUUGCUGGUGUGUGUGGUUUUUCCUUCGCAUAUACUGGAUAUAUUCUGUGGCUUUGUCUAGGAUUUGGGCCCGGGAUGCCUGUGGCAAUAUGAGAAAAAGCACAGGGGACAAAAUAAAAACCCAAUCCAGGCAGUGAGGGAACCUGGCCUGCAGCAACUGCUUGGGUGGCUGGAAACGAGAGGGUAAGGUGGGAAAAGGCUGAAGAAAUACAAUAAUGGCUACUGUAGGCUUUAUUUAUUUAUUUAUUUUUUUAUUUUUUUGAGACAGAGUUUCGCUCUUGUUGCCCAAGCUGGAGUGCAACAGCGUGAUCUUGGCUGACAGCAACCUCCGCCUCCUGGGUUCAAGUGAUUCUCCUGCCUCAGCCUCCUGAGUAGCUAGGAUUAUAGGUGUGCGCCACCACGCCCAUCUAAUUUUUUUGUAUUUUUAGUAGAAAUGCGGUUUCACCAUGUUAGCCAGGCUGGUCUCAAACUCCUGGCCUCAGGUGAUCUGCCCACCUUGGCCUCCCAAAAUGCUGGGAUUAUAGGUCACAGGUGUGAGCCACUGCGCCCAGCCUGUUGUUGUUGUUGUUGUUGUUGUUUUUUUUUUUUUGGAGACGUAGUCUCGCUCUGUUGCCCAGGCUGGAGUAGAGUGGUGUGAUCUCAGCUCACUGCAACCUCCACCUCCCAGGUUCAAGUGAUUCUUCUGCCUCAGCCUCCAGAGUAGCUGGGAUUACAAGUACAUGCCACGUUGCCUGGCUAAUUUUUACAUUUUUAAUAAAGAUGGGGUUUCACCAUGUUGGCCAGACUGGUCUCAAACUCCUCACCUCAGGUGAUCCACCUACCUCGGCCUCCCAAACUGCUGGGAUUACAGGCGUGAGCCACUGCAUCCGUGAAGGCCUUCUUUGUGACAUACAAGGUGCCAAGUGCUUUACAGAGCUUAACUCACAAGAUUAGUCUCAGAGGUAGCUCUACUAAGAACCCAAGGAUCAGAGAAGUACACCGCUUUAUUCAAAAUCACCAGCUGCACAGUAGCAUGGCCUGGCUUUAAACUCAGAGCCAUCCGACUCCUGAACUGUACUCCUCCCAUCUCCUCUGGUUCUUUAGGUUGCUUUAAAGUCUUUAGCUUGGCUAUGUCUGGAAACAUUAAAAUACUACUUAAAUGAAAGCUUUAGGUCACUAAUUCUGCUAGGGCCUGGCUUGAGACAGGAAUGGGUACAAUGUGUUUCAUCAAGACCCAAGAUUCCAGCCAAACUCUGAAACCACUGUUAACUAUUCCGAACUGAACAAUGCUGCUGUGUCACUACUUCAGCCUUCCUGGCUAAAGAGACUUUCAUAAAAAGCUGUCGGUGCUUGAUGUCAACACAGGAAGAGCAUGAGAUUGGGCCAUUUCAGGAAACAACCACACCUCUACAAUGGCUGUGGGUUGCCUGGGUACUGCCUUGCUAGAGUAAGUUCGUAAGUCAAUAACAUGGAUGUCAUGUUACUGUGCCCCUAGACAUCAAACUUGUCUGGGAGAUUCUCUCCAGGCUACAAACAUAGUCAGAGUUACUUAUGGCCAGGCAGCCAGCCAAACUGGUAGAAUAGUACAAAGCCAAGCGAAGCUCAAGGCGGGGUAGCCUAGUAGCUUAAGUAUGGCCUUCCAGCCAGAGACUCCUGAGCAGCCGGAAAGCUUCUUACUCAGGGUAGGGAGUGCUUGACAAUUCUGUAUUACAAGCCCAAUGGGUCCUAAACAACCAGAACACAACAGCGGGAGAAAGACAAAGAAAACAUGUACACCGUGGCUAGCAAAACCAGAUCUACUCAUAUUAAAUCCUAACAAUCUCAAUUUAUAGGCCUCAGUUUGGGCUGAGUUUCAGAAAGGUUUGUAAGGCCCGUGCUUAUUCAUAAGUCCUCACAAGUACUAGAAUUUCCAGGCUUUCCUCUUUAGCACCCUUAAGGUAAUUUCCUCAAGGAAAUUGUUCAUAAUCAACCAUUUUUAUCAGGUGCAAAUUACGUACAAGAUACUAGGCAGAUACUGUGGGGAAACAAAAUGUAUUAGUCAUGGCUUCUUUGCCCCAAAGCUUACUUACUAUCUAGUUGAGGAGAUAAAUAUGUCUAUACAUGGAAAUAUCACAGGGCAGUGCUGACAAGCGUAACCUGACUAGCAGAGACUAGAGACACCACGGGAAAGAUGGCUUCUGGCUGGGGUGAUUACCUACUGUGUGCUACGCAUUGGCCUUGGUGCUGCAUGUGUGCAUGCAACACGCUCCUAUCUGAAAUGGUGAGCCCUGUGUUAGACCAAGGUGGCGUUUGGAAUAGCACAGUCAAGAUGGGAUGGGGAAAAAGUGAGAUGCGUUUCUUUAGUUGAGUCAGUCAGCUUAUGCAGAAGGAAUGAGAGUUCCUAGCCUAGCAAUGGAUACUUCAGACACUGUUUCCCAUUUCUACAAAGGGACCUUAUUAGGGUUUAUUAGGUGACAAAAUGGGGUGGAAAAAAGGAGCACAUAAUUAGAAGGGACUAAUUAAAAUACCUUCCUCUCUGGAUACUGGAGAUGGAAUGAAAAAUGAUUAGUAUUGAUAAGAGGUGGUAGAGUGGCAAGGAAGAAUUUGGGAAUUAGAGGACAGAGGAGUGCUCUGCAUGCUUGUCAUUAAUGGGUUCUGUAGCUGCAGACACAUUUCUCACCUUGCCUAUUCCUCAUCUGACUAGAAAUUCUCUAAGACCCCAUCUAGCCCUCCAAAGUCUACCCUUUCCAUCACUGAUGUAAUUUACAUCCCUCUAUUUAAAUUUGCCUAUGUAAAAGCUAUUUUUUCAACUAAUAGUUCCCAGAAGGCAACAUUAGCUCUUAACUACCCAUGUGCAUCCGGGACAAGGGAAAAAAUGCACAAUCUCUGAAACCAGAGAGCACUUGCAAAUGUUCAGUGAUAACUUUUAAUGAAUGACCAGACUGAGUAACAGCCUUUUUGCUACCAGUUUCUCCUUCAAAUAUUUAUACAUGAAACCAGGGAAUUAGGAUCAAGAAGUGAAAAGUGAGCAGUAAGCACAGCAAAACAAGCCAGAAGAGAGAAAAAGAUCUGUGAGGGAUGGCAGUUUCCAUUUCAGGGUAAUUUUUGGAUGAAGAUAAAAUUCAUAGAUGUUCAGAACAUAGUGUCUUGGGAACAACAGGAGUCCAAAGAAGGCUGGAUUGGUUUAAACUCAGAACGAGGCCUUCAGAAUGCUAAGCACAGCCCUUCCUCCAUCCUCUGCUGAAAGCAGAAGUGCCCCUGGUCACUUAGGGUGCCCUGAUCCCUCAGCAAGUCCAAAAGAAUGGUUCAGAGUUAACUUUAUUUUACUCUUCCCAGGGUACCCAACAAGAAUUAAGGCCCAACAAGAAAAAAAUUUAAAGCACAAAAUACAGAAAUACCCCAAAUUUGCAUGUGCAUGUAGUCCAGGAAAGAAAAAGCAAAAGGCUGAAGCUAAAAAUGCUAGACUCACCUGCAAUCCUCCCCUCCCAUCUUUCCACUCCAUACAAGAUCAUGUGGCCAAACACAGGAUGAAGGUGGGGGCAGGGCCUUCCUUGUCUUUAUGAGUUUAUAAUAUGUGACCAGCAAACACGAAACCAGCAAGAAACCCUGGGAUUUAUGGCAUGGACUAUGGAAUAACCCUGGACUUUCAGUUUCUGUUUUCUGAAAAUUGCUCUAAGUCAGCUGAGUCAACUGCCUAUCUUCAUGUGAGUGUGACUGAUCAGAUAGAACUUGGUAAGUCAACAUGUCCACAGAGCAAGUGCUGCCUUGGGUACUCAGUAAAAGCCUGAAAAUUUUUUUCCUGAUAGUUUUUAUAAUUAGCAGAAUCAUAAUUUUGAGUCUGUCUUUGUGAACAGAAAUGGCUCUUUAAAUGGCUUGGAUGGAGCCCUGAGACAGGGUGGAUGGUGGCUGAAGGGACUGAAGAGGUAGCCAGGCCUCCCAUGUAGCCAUGUAAGCAAACGCAAAGGGCUCAGCAGGCCUCUCUCUCACCUCUGGGAGCCACACAAAGGGAUACUGGGCAGCCUUGCGAGAUCUUGCUCCAAAGCCAUGGCUGCACAUAGCAACACAAGUGACAAUGAUGAUGGGGGUGGUAACAAUGGCAGCACUAACACUUACUGAGUACUUACUAAGUGUCAGGCAUCCUCACACAACCUUCUGAUGUUUUCCCUAUUUUAUAAAUGAGGAAACCGAGACACAGAGCUGUAAUUUACCCAAUGUUAUGUAAACUAAUAGGAAGUUGAGUCAGGAUUUGAAUCCAAGCCUCCAGGACACUCAUACUUUGGGAACACAGGGGAAGCUAUGGAACUAAUUUAAAAAGAUCAAUAGAAUUGCAGGGACACUGUUGUCAUGGAGGGGAAAGUUGGAGGAGGAAAAGGACUACGAAAGUCACCUGAUUUGCCUACAAGGACGUCAAAUGGAAGACCCUAGUGAAGGUGGUUUUCUUGGAGGAGUGACAGCCGAAGCCCAAUGGUAAAUUGUCUCUGCACCGGUAACAGGCAUAAGAAUUGAGUUGCAAGUGAGGCAAUGAUGAAGACUAGUCUUCAGAAUUUGGUUGAAAAGUAAGAAGUAGGCCAGGUGCAGUGGCUCAUGCCUGUAAUCCCAGCACCCUGGGAGGCUGAGGUGGGAGGAUCACUAGGGCUCAGGUGUUGGGGACCAGCCUAGAAAACACAGCAAGACACUUGGGCUCUAUAAAAAAAUCAAAAGAUUAGCUGGGCAUGGUGGUACACGAAUGUGGUCCCAGCUACUUGGGAGGCAAAGGUGGGAGGAUCUCUUGAGCCCAUGGGGCUGAAGCUGCAGUGAGACAGGCUUGUGCCAACACACUCCAGCCUGAAAAAAAAGAGUGAGACCCUGUAUAAAAAAAAAAAAGUGAAAAAUGGUAGUUUGUAAUAGCAGGAUAGCAGCAUUGAAGGAAGGUUAUUUUUCUUUCUAUUUUAAAGACAGGUGAGAACUAAACAGGCUUCUAGCAGAAACACAUUGAAAGGAAAAGCCUCAAGAUGCAAGCGAGCUUGAGAGAACUGACCUAACCAUCUGGUCUGGAGGGCAGAAGUGGAAGGUUAGGUGGGGGAUGUCAGCUUCCCACAGUACACUGCUGGCUUCAUUACCUCUUGGCAGCCCAGAAGGAUAAAAGCAAAAUGAAUAAUGUAGAAGGGACCCAGGGUGUGGCAGAGGGUCUGCCAGGUUCCUGUCCCUCCUACUGUUUAUGCUGCAGCUACGUGUCCAUUUGCAUUCCCUCCCAAGGCAGUAAGCAGACAGAGGGAAGGCCAACCCUCUCAAGCAGAGGCACCCACUGUCAGACCUCUGCUUUUGAACAGCAUCCACCCACCCCACACAUCACAGCAAGAACUGACUACAUAUGUCACAAAAGGCCUCAGACCCAAAAGACUUGGAUUCUAAAUAGAACCGUUUAAGGCCCCAAAUGACUCCUGAAGUUGUUAGCACUGAUGCUUCAGACGAAGUCCAAGGUUAUUAAAUCUCAUUUAAAGCAAUGGUUCUCAAAAAUUUUCAAUGUAAGGCAAGAGUUCCAAAUAUUUCUGGAGUUAUAAAUUUUAUCACAGUAACUUGGAUUUCUGUAAAACUUCAAGUUGUUUUAGAAAGUGGGUGGGGAGAGGUGAGGAAAAGAAUAGUAGUGCUAGAUUGUUAACAUUAGGAACACCACUGCCCUUCCCUAGGGUCCCAAUGCUGACGUGAGAAACAAUAAUCUUAACUCUACUGAACACUUUUCCUCUUCAGUGCCCAAAACAGAUGCCAGUGGGCUGAUGUUACAGCUGUCUUGUUCCCCUAAGAACCAAAAUGCCAUAUCUGGAGGGAUGAAAAAAGAGGUACUGCUGGACUCAACAACUGACAUCUGUUUUAUUUUGUACUAGUUAUUUUAGAGAAAAUGAAACCAUUUAUUUUCUGAAACCUGUGUAAGCUUUUACACAUAUGAAG
rnacentral:lncRNA from 1 species